GGUAGUUCUAGGGUGAUGCACCCCAGAAUUGGGCUCCCUCCUCUCUGGUUCCGGGUGCAUCACCGGAGAACUGCA
rfam:Myotis lucifugus cont2.3330, whole genome shotgun sequence.